AGUGCUCUGGAAGGGAAGGGAAGGACCUCUGUGAGCAGCCCUCAAUGGGAGCCCCAGAGGUACUGGCUGGGAGGCAGGACCACACCCUCAAUUCACUCAUUAGAGUCUGUGCCUUGGUCCUUUGCUCUUGGUGGAGUGGGCCCCUGGGGCAGCUACCCUGGCUUGAAGAAAACCUCCAUUCCCCUUGUGCUAAGUUGCUUCAGUGUGUCUGACUCUUUGCGACCUCAUAGACUGUAGCCUGCCAGGCUCCUUUGUCCAUGGGAUUCUCCAGCCCAGACUCCCGCGUGCAGGUGUGUCGCACUACUCUGGGGGCAACCACUCACAUCCUAGUCUAAGAGGACGGCGCCUGGUGAAAUGACCGAGCUGUGGACUCAGACCUGGGUUACACUCUCGGCUCGGCCAUCAUCUGACUGUGUGGCCUCAAGGAAGUCGCUCAUCUUCUCUGACCUUCACUUUACUCAUCUGUAAAAUGAAGCUAUUGAUAGAAACGUAGCAUCAUGUUUUUUGAGAAUUCAGUAGAUCAUCCAGGCAGAGCACCUGGCGCUCAGUAAACA
ensembl:lncRNA